rnacentral:rRNA from 1 species
UACAGAGGUCUCAAGCGUUGUUCGGAAUUACUGGGCGUAAAGGGUGCGCAGGCCGCGCGGGCAGUCAAUUGUGUAAUUCAGGGGCUCAACCCCUGGACUGCGCUUGAUACUUCCGUGCUAGAGCUUUGGAGAGGAGUCUGGAAUUCUCGGUGUAGCAGUGAAAUGCGUGGAUAUCGAGAAGAACACUUAGGGCGAAGGCAAGACUCUGGACAAAUGCUGACGCUCAUGCACGAAGGCUAGGGUAGCGAACGGG